rnacentral:lncRNA from 10 species
GAACAAUUGAGAUAACUCACUACCUUCUGACCAGCCCAAGGCUCUCUUUUUAUCUGGGACCAGCCCAAGGCUCUCUUUUUAUCUGGGAAGAAAAUCUUUUCUAGCAACUUCCCAGACAAGGAACAGAACCAGUUCGUGUGUCCACAUGUCCGUUGCUACACCCAUAUCUACAAAGGAGAAGGGAGUGCUCUGACUGGGGCUGGGGCAGGGACCUAUCCACCCCUGAAUCUGUUCUGCUUCCCAAAGACACUGGAGUUCUAUCAGCCUAGAAGCAGGGAUUACAUGGCUUUUGGAUACUGACUGAUACAUGGGACAUCAAGUAGAGUCAUCAGAUGAUACUGCCUCAGUGGUGAGAGCAAAUUAGCCUUAGACCAAAGGCUAUUCUCCUCUUGCCAAAUGGUACCUAAAAGCACACCUUAAAAGGAUCAAUCUGUUUCCAAGGAACUUAACUAAGUCCCUGAACGAGGCUCAAAUAUAUUCAAAGGAAUACAAAAAAAUCUAGCACCAAACAACAUAAAAUAUACAAUGUCUGGCAUCCAAUCAAUAAUUACCAGGCAUGCAAAGACACAGGCAAAUAAUGACACAAAGCUGACCCAGAAAUGUCACAGAAUUAGUAGACAAGGACUUUAGCUCCAAUAGCUAUUAUUAAAUACCAUCCAUAUAUUCAAACAGAUAUGGAAAAACAUAAACACGAUGUAAAGAGGUGUGAAGAUAUAAAAUAAGACCUCAAUUGAACUUCUAAAGAUGAAAUGUAUAAUAUCUGAGAUGAAAAGUAUACUGGAUGGAAAUAAAAGCAGAUUAGACCCUGUAGAAAACAGGUUUUUGAAGACUUAGCAAUAGAAACUAUCCAAGAUGAAACACAGAGAGGAAAAAAAGACUUAAAAACAAAAAACAAAAAACAAAAACAAAACCUCCAAAACCAAAAUCCAGAAAAUCAGUGAGCUGUGGAAUAACAAGUAGCCUGUAUACCUGUUUGGAGACCAGAAACGUGGGUCUAACAGAUUCACAGGAGAGAUGACAGAAAAAAUAUCUGAAGGAACAAUAAUUUUCAAAUUUGAUGGAAACUAUAAAUCCCUAUGUCGAAGAAGCUCAAUAAACCCUAAGCAGAAGAAAUAUGAAGACAACUACACCAAGGGUACAUCAUAAUCUGCCUUAAUCACUGCUGAACACCAGUGAUAAAGACACAAAUCUUAAGAGCUGCCAGAGGAAAAAAACACAUUGUGUAAAAAGGAAAAAUAGAAGUGAUUUCUCGUCAGAAACAAUGCAACCCUGAAGACAGUGGAGUAAUGUCUUUAAAGUACGAAAAGAUAAAAACUGUCAACCUAGAAUUCAGUGGAGAUAUCUUUCAAAUAGGAAGAUGGAAUAAAGAUGCAUUCAGACAUUCCAAAAUUGAAAGAAUUCAUCAUCAGUAGACCUGCACUAGAAGAACGGCUUUAAAAAGUCCUUCAAGCAGAAGAAAAAUGAUACCAGAUGGAAAUCUCCGUCUACACAAAGGAAUGAAGAGAGCUGGAAAUGGUAAAUAUGUGGGUAGAUAGAAAAGAUAUUUUUCUGAUUUUAAAAUUCUCUUUAAAAGAUACUUGAGGGUUUAGAGCAAAUCUAAUAAUGUAUUGUGGGGCUUAUAGCAUGUGUAGAAAUAAAUCCAUGGUGACAAUAGCACAAAGGCGGAGAGGUGGGGAAUGGGAGGAAGGUGUUUGCGCUGAGUGGUGUGAUAUUACUUGAUGGAGAUAGACUAUAAGUUAAAGAAGCAUUGUGUAAUCCUAAAAGAACCACAAAAAAAUGUAAGUGUAGUAUUAUGAACCAAUAAAGGAGAUAAAAUGAAGAUCACAAGGGGUGUGCUGGCCACCCCCUUGGCACACAGAACAGUUGGGUGGAGUUCCCCAGCCCAGCAGGGUCCCAUAGAGCCUCUGUAGGUGUUUGGGAUAGAAUGAGUACCGUCAGAAAGAAACUUCCUCUCCUGCCACCUUCUGGCAGUAAAUCCAGCCUAUUUUUAACUCAGGCCUCUGCUUAAGUGCUUUUGGCUAAAAGAGAAUUGCUGCUUCUAAGAAUCUCAGGCAGCCACAGUCUCCUCGGCUUCUCUGCUCGCUCCAGCCCUAGAAGGCUCAGGGACUGCUCAGAUGUCCC